CCUACGGGUGGCUGCAGUGGGGGAUAUUGCACAAUGGGGGGAACCCUGAUGCAGCGACGCCGCGUGGGUGAAGAAGCGCCUCGGCGCGUAAAGCCCUGUCAGCAGGGAAGAAAAUGACGGUACCUGAAGAAGAAGCCCCGGCUAACUACGUGCCAGCAGCCGCGGUAAUACGUAGGCUGCGAGCGUUAUCCGGAUUUAUUGGGUUUAAAGGGUGCGUAGGCGGGUUAUCAAGUCAGCGGUAAAAUCGUGGAGCUCAACUCCAUCCAGCCGUUGAAACUGGUGAUCUUGAGUGGGCGAGAGGUAUGCGGAAUGCGUGGUGUAGCGGUGAAAUGCAUAGAUAUCACGCAGAACUCCGAUUGCGAAGGCAGCAUACCGGCGCCCGACUGACGCUGAGGCACGAAAGCGUGGGUAUCGAACAGGAUUAGAUACCCCUGUAGUC
rnacentral:rRNA from 1 species